GCACUAGAUUUUAGCAGAUUAAACCUUAGCCACUUCUAGCUCAUAUCAACCAAACAAUAUUCUGCAUAAGUACACGUGUAAUCCUACACCAGUUGUCCUGUCUUCUUACGUGUAAAGCCAUAUCCAUUUGCCCAUACUUUUGGGAAAGUCACUCUGCCAACAGUGAAAAAGCAUCCUACUUGGAUUGGAUUGGCUCUAAAACUUCCUGUGGUCUACAUUUAACCACAUUCUCCAUAUAAAACACAACGAAUUCUCUCUAUCCACUUAUCCAAUAUAGUGUUCAGCUUUUCUAGUGGAACCCUUUUCAAUCUGCAAGAGAAAUAACUCAAGAAAUUCUCAAAGCAAUAUGGAUGCUUGCUUUGUCACUUCAAAGUCCUUCCCUGCAACCGUAGAGAAACUCUUUCCUUUGUUAGGAUCAAGAAUUUCUUAUUCUACAAGAAGAAGGUUAUUUGUUAGUCAGUUUCAUCAGCUCAAAAAAGUUGGCACUCCUUUGUCAGUGACAUGUAAGUACCCUGUUUCUUGUUUUCUCCGUUUUGCAUUUCGAUGGUAUUUUCGUGUAGGUCUGAUGAAACAGUCCAGUGAUCGAGAUAUCACAAUUCAAUUUGUGAUGCUCAAAUCAACAGAGCUAGAUCUAGGGCGGAGUCUGCGGGUUCAAUUACUAUGUAUACAUGAGAAGAAAAAGAAAUUUCAAGUAUACACGUAUAAUAAGAUUACACUCAUUUUAAGCAACUAAUUUUAAUUUGUGAUUCGAGAACAAUAACUCAGGGGGGUUAGGGGUAAUUUCAAUCAUUUGGAAAACGAAUUAUUUCAGCCUAAAGUUUUCAUUUGUUCACUUUUUUAGAUAAUCUAAUGAAAAAUUUCUGCAUCGUCUAUUUUUGGUUCAUGGAAACUACAAAAAGAUGGUAUUUUUGGGAAACCUGAGAAAACUUUGUACUUGUAGGUUGUCAGGCAAGUUCAUCAUUGCCAUCACCUUCACCUCAAGAUGAAGAAAGACCUUUUGCUGAAACGGAUUGGAGAUCAUUUCGAGCACGAUUGGUCGCCGGAGAAAAAUCUUCCCGGUCAGAAGAGCCUUCCUCCGUCGUCAAUCCCGACACCGUCGACGAUCUUCCGCCACCUCCGGCCGUCACAAUUGGUAACAAAUGGGCGCACACCAUUCACGAACCAGAGAAAGGUUGCUUGCUCAUCGCCACUGAAAAGCUCGACGGCGUCCAC
rnacentral:lncRNA from 1 species